rnacentral:rRNA from 1 species
GUAUGGGGGGUUUACUUUUUGUAUUACAGCUAACGCGUUAAACAUUCCGCCUGGGGACUACGGUCGCAAGAUUAAAACUCAAAGGAAUUGACGGGGACCCGCACAAGCGGUGGAGCAUGUGGUUUAAUUCGAUGCAACGCGAAAAACCUUACCACUCCUUGACAUGGAAAUUAUACCUAUUCGAAGGGAUAGGGUCGGUUCGGCCGGGUUUCACACAGGUGUUGCAUGGCUGUCGUCAGCUCGUGUCGUGAGAUGUUGGGUUAAGUCCCG